GCCCGGGUGGCGGAACUGGUAGACGCAAGGGACUUAAAAUCCCUCGGGCGGUAACGUCCAUGCCGGUUCGACUCCGGCCCCGGGCACCA
rnacentral:tRNA from 2 species